UUUUUUUUUUUUUUUUUGAGAUGGAGUCUCGUUAUGUCACUCAGGCUGGAGUGCAGUGGUGCGAUCUUGGCUCACUGCAACCUCCGCCUCUGGGAAUCAAGUGAUUCUUGUACCUCAGCCUCCCGAGUAGCUGGGAUUACAGGCGUGUACCACCAUGCCCGGCUAGUUUUUGUAGUUUUGGUAGAGACGGGUUUCACCAUGUUGGCCAGGCUGGUCUUGAACUCCUGGCCUCAAGUGAUCCAUCCGCCUCGGCCUCGCAAAGUGCUGGGAUUACAGGCGUGAACCUUUGCACCUGGCCCAAGAUGUGUCAUAAAGGUUCAGAAAUCCAGACAGUGUGGCAUCGGUAAUAGGAUAGACAAAUAGAUCAGUGGAACAGAACAGAGGAUCCAGAGUAGACCCUCACAUAUAUGCUCAACUGAUUUUGAAAUAAGCGUAAGCAAAUUCAGCAGAGAAAGGAGAAUCUUAGCAACAAAUGGUACUAGAACGACGGGGCUACACAUAUGAACGGAAGCUUCAAUCUAUACACGACAGUACAUACAAAAUCCAUUCAAAACUUACUAUUAAUUUUUUUGAGAUGGAGUCUCACUUUGUCGCCCAGGUUGGAGUGCAGUGGCACGAUCUCGGCUCACUGCAACCUCCGUCUCCCAGGUUCAAGUGAUUCUCCUGCCUCAGCUUCCUGAGUAGCUGGGAUUACAGGUGCCUGCCACCACGCCUGGCUACUUUCUGUAUUUUUAGUAGAGACGGCGUUUCACCAUGUUGGUCAGGCUUGUGUCAAACUCCUGACCUCAGGUGAUCCACCCGCCUCGGCCUCCCAAAGUGCCAGGAUUACAGGUGUGAGCCACUGUGCCCAGCCUCAGAACUUGUUAUAAGCCAAAAUGUAAGGCCUACAACUGUAAAAUGUGUGUAAGAAUGAAAAGGAGGAUGUCAGUGUGACUUAGGUUAGGGAAAUGAUUCUUAGGUAAACACUAAAAGCAUGAUGCAUAAAGGAAAACCUGAUCCACUGGAGUUCAUGGGAAUGGAGGGUGUGUGCAUUUUGAAAGGCUCUGAGAAGAAAGACAAGCCCGGGCUGGCGGAGGCAUUAGCAAAUAUCCCGUCUGAGGAAGGACUCAUCUCAGCAUCUACGACGAGCUCCCAGGAGUCAUGGGGUGCUGUGCUCUCGGCAGAUGCGGGAGAGCCUCCCAUCCCGUAAUUCGUGUCCCCGGAGCAGCACUGCUCAAAGUCCCCUACCGAUGCCCUCCUCAGCCCACAGACCCGACCCUCCGCACGUGUGCACCCACAGGCCAGGCCUUGCGGGUCUUCUUAGGACAUGACCCCAACUUCGGGAGGAGGAAAAGCAGAGGAAAACCAAUGAAAAGAAAGAAGAAUUUACUGGUGGCCCUUUCAAGUCUGUCUAAUGACCCAAUUUCAGGUUAAGCCAGGCAGUGCUGACGAGGCAGCCCUGUGUUCUGCCGGGUCCCGAGGGCUCCACCUCCUCCGUGGGUGAGAAGCAGCAACCAGCCAGGGAGAAAACCACCUAGCUGCAUCAAACUCUGUAGUGCUGGAAGUAAGCACAGGC
ensembl:lncRNA